rnacentral:tRNA from 1 species
UGUCUUGUAGUAUAUAAAAUUACUGUAAACUGCAACUUUACCAAAACAUUAGUCAAGACAU